GAUAAAUAAAUAAAAAAGUGGGUCACCACAAAAGAAAACAAAAAUAACAAAACAAAAAAACCACCAAGGACAACAAGAUGUGUCAAUCUGUUACUGAUCAAUCGAGGCAGGCACCUUCAUGGACAGAUCCCUUCACUCAGCACCUUCAACCUAUCCUUUCUUUUAUUGCCAACUAAAAUAUCAUGAAAGCUGAGGACUCCGGGAGGCAGUUCUGUACCUCACUUUAAAGUGAGCAUGCUCAGGGAAUGUGAUCCUAACAUGCUCAUGAAUGAAAGUUCACACCCCUCUCUAUGAAGAUGUAUGCACCCUUACAUAACAUUCCUAUGCUUCCUCUGUUGGGGAGUGAGUCUUAGCUUUGCUUUGGAAAUGACUCCUGUACCAGCUUUGCCUGAUUCAGGCACUAAGUAUCUCUCCACUGGUGUCCUAUUUCCUUGUUUAUUUUGGCUCUGAGUUAGACUUGCUGGAUCAGGUUACUCAUUGGUGUUACCCCAGGGAAGCUUUGAAUUGCUGGUUACAUUAAAGAACCCCUUUCAGGAAAGACCUCUCUGCACUGCUGGAUAUAAAACAGAUCAAUAGUAUUCCACAGUGAAUACACACUCAUCAUCCACUAAUUGGUUGAAAGGUAUCUAUGCUGUUUCCAUUCCCUAGCUGUUGUGAAGAGAGCAGCAAUGAACAAGGCUGAGCAAGCGUCUGUGGACCACGAUGUGGAGUCCUUUGGGCAUGGGCCAAGGAGCGGUACAG
rnacentral:sRNA from 1 species